AGUGAACGCUGGCGGCAUGCCUAACACAUGCAAGUCGAACGAGAUCUUCGGGUCUAGUGGCGCACGGGUGCGUAACGCGCGGGAAUCUGCCCUUUGGUUCGGAAUAACAGUGGGAAACGACUGCUAAUACCGGAUGAUGACGAAAGUCCAAAGAUUUAUCGCCAGAGGUUGAGCCCGCGUAGGAUUAGCUAGUUGGUGUGGUAAAGGCGCACCAAGGCGACGAUCCUUAGCUGGUCUGAGAGGAUGAUCAGCCACACUGGGACUGAGACACGGCCCAGACUCCUACGGGAGGCAGCAGUGGGGAAUAUUGGACAAUGGGCGAAAGCCUGAUCCAGCAAUGCCGCGUGAGUGAUGAAGGCCUUAGGGUUGUAAAGCUCUUUUACCCGGGAUGAUAAUGACAGUACCGGGAGAAUAAGCUCCGGCUAACUCCGUGCCAGCCGCCGCUGUAACAC
rnacentral:rRNA from 1 species